rnacentral:lncRNA from 1 species
GGUGAAGCGGGAACUAAAGGAGAACGUGGUACUCCGGUAAGUCAUGUGUUUGAUCUAUUUAUGGGCAUAUUUCAAUCCCUCAGCAUGUCGAAUAAAACACCACCAAGUUUAAGACUCAUGAUACUGAAGACUUACUGACGUUUGGUCUGUUUAGAGUCUGUUUGGUGAAAUAUGAAAUGUUUUUAAUGUGUGAUUGACUCUAAAGUGUUUCCUCUCAUUCCCGAAGGGUGAACUGGGACAAGGUGGACGGCCCGGGGAUCGAGGGAUUAGGGUGAUUUUGGUUUUCUAAUUUCUCAUUUCUGUUGUUUUUUCAUAAUGGUUCCAAUUUAUAAUGUGUGUGUUGGUUUUAUGAACCCCCGUCUCCCAGGGGCCACUGGGCCUGCCGGGCCGCCCAGGGGACUCAGGGGGCAGAGGAGAAGGAGGCAAGCACGGCCUGCCGGGAACAGACGGCAAGAAGGGGGACAAAGGAGACAGCGUAUGUUUGUAUUGGAGAUCCUCUCUUAUUAUGACACAUUGUUCCCUCUCGUUGACUUCCUGCUCUUUGUGUCCGUCUUAUCCUUUGGUCCGGAAACUUUUCGAGCCACCUGUCUUUUUUUCCUUUGCCGUCUUUCAGUCUGAUCUUUGCCACCGAUACGCCAGACAUUGAAAUCAACCCUUUUGUGGAUCAUGAAUACAUUUAUUACUUGUAUGUGUUCUGAUUAGAGUGUUUACAAUUCAGUGGCGUCACAUCUUUUGUUGUUCUCUACGUGUUUGUUGUUGUUUAUUUGUAUUAAUAUGUUGUUCCUUCGGCUGCGUCUCCUCAGGGAAGGCCAGGACCUCCUGGAACAGCCCAUGUAAACGCCUUUAUUACCAUUAAACACUUCAAUCACCUCUCCCACAUCCACACAACACUCAAACACUCCAUCUCCCAGAAGGCCUUCAGACACCUGUUCUGGAGUUUGUCAUAUGACUCAAUUCAAUCAAAACUGCUAGAAUUAAACCCUCUGUCUUUUAUUUCCUUCAACCAGGUAACGUCGGACAACAACAUACUGACCCGGGUGAUUAAGGUAACUAAACGGAAGAAUAAACCAAACAUUAAGGAAGUCUAUUCUAGUCAUUCUAAUAUUCUCCAUUCUACUCUGUUCUAUUCUAUUUCUAUUCUAUGCUGUUCCCUUUCAGGGUGAGCCUGGUGAUCAAGGGCCCACGGGAGAGACAGGAAUGCCUGGCCCAAGGGUAAGGGCUUCAUCCUCCAGUCAAACAUUUAAAACCAGUGCCGUGUUUGAAUUGGUCCUCUUCUGCUCUGUAUAGUGCACUACUUAUUACCCAGGAUGCACCGUAUAAAAAGUUCACAGCUGAUGUAUAAUU